rnacentral:rRNA from 1 species
UACGGGGGGGGCAAGCGUUGUUCGGAAUUACUGGGCGUAAAGGGCUCGUAGGCGGCCAACUAAGUCAGACGUGAAAUCCCUCGGCUUAACCGGGGAACUGCGUCUGAUACUGGAUGGCUUGAGUUCGGGAGAGGGAUGCGGAAUUCCAGGUGUAGCGGUGAAAUGCGCAGAUAUCAGGAGGAACACCGGUGGCGAAGGCGGGUCUCUGGGCCGAUACUGACGCUGAGACACGAAAGCGUGGGGAGCAAACAGG